CUUGGAAUCAGAAGUCUGGGGUUUGAGCCCUCUCUCUGCUGCUUGGGAGUUGUAUGACUUUUGGGAAGUAAUUUUUCCUCAUCUGAACUUGUAAGAUAAUGAAAUGAAUCUAAAUAAUCUCUAAAAUUUCUUCCGGCUCUGACAUUCUGUGAUUCUUUAACUGCGUGGGCAGGAGGCUGUGGGGAAGGGUGAUGACGGAGAGCCUCUGAUCUGCAGUAUGGAAAGUUAAAGGGGACUUCUGGGCAAACAUGGCUGCAGUUUAGAUGCAGGAAUCUACCUCUCCUCAGCCCCAAAACCUGAAUUCAUAUGAACAAAGGGACUCCACAGUUGGGCACAGCAUUGAAGAAGGGAUAUUCAUCGAAAGGGGCUCCAGGGAGAACCAGGGCAUGCGGAAACCUUAUGAUACAGGUGGGAGCUCCGUGAAGCCCCAAGAGUGUAGCGAUGCAGCAGUAGACACUGGAUCAAGCAUAACCCACUGUCACUCCAAACUCCUAAAGUCAAGCAAUCCACCAAACUCAGCAGCCUGAGGAGCAGGGAUGAACCAAUGCUGCCAGCUGAGACUGAAUAUUGCGAAAUUAAAGUGACCAAGGUUGGCCCCAAAGAAGAGACAAGAGAAGAUAUCUCCUACAUCCUUUGCAGAGGUUGGUUUGGAAGUUUCUGUUUGGAAUAUCCUAUGCCCAGUGUUCUGAAAUCCUUUAGCAAACAUACAGCAGCCCACGUAGCCUUCAUAACAAUGGAAGUAUCUCUCAUGACUGCCUUGCCCCAGCCGAGCACUGCCCAUGGUGCUGAAGACAAUGAAGUUGGAUCCCUCAGGGACAAAAGACUCGCCAUCUCCAUUGUUCAUCUGGAGCUGACCAGUAAGAAGUAGAAUUGGGACUGAGGAGAGAGACCAGGGGGCCAAGGGAAGGGAUGUGGGAAGGGAUGGAGUCUCUGAUAAACACAUCUGCCAUAGGGAAGAGCUAUAAUAUGACACAAUCAUUGUUGGAUACUGAGCUGCGGAACACGGAGAAGCC
rnacentral:lncRNA from 1 species